GCACUGGUAGUUCAGUGGUAAAAUUCUUGCCUUCCACGCGGAAUACCCAAAUUUGAUUCCUGGCCAAUGUA
rnacentral:tRNA from 1 species